GCCUUGUCGUUAACAGUCAGAUUUGUAUAGGAAGUGAUUCAAUGUAACAAUGAGUCCGUCCAAAUUCGUUGUGUGCGUAUUGCUGAUUUUUGUUAAGUCGGAAUUGGUCCCGGAAUCGAACAUGACACAAUUGGACUCAAUGCCCCUCCAGAGUCUGGAGAAAGAUCCCAAACCCUCCGACUUUCAUUUUCUAAUCACAGGCGGAUAUCGGCCAAAAACAAACAAACUGGUCAAAUAUGUGGUUUCGCUGCGAUUGGGCAAUUCCAAGAAGUUCUUCGGGGAUAACCACUAUUGCGCGGGUGCGAUCUUCAGCUCACGGGCCAUUCUUACGGCUGCCCAUUGCCUAUAUAGUAAUCGCCGCAAGCUGACGCCCAAGAAGUUGACGGUCAUCGCUGGUACGCCAAAGAGGCUGGUGAAAAGCGACUCUACACAGAUUGUUCAGGCCCACAAGCUACUUCCGCACCCCAAGUACAAGAAGGGCAAGUCCCAGAAAUAUGACAUAGGAAUAGUGCUGAUGAAAGAGGAUCUCAGUCUGGGGGGCUCUGUCGCCAGUAUACCUCUGUAUAAUAAGGCUCCAGUGGCCGGAGUCCAGUGCAGCAUCAUUGGCUGGGGAACAGUCAUACAGUACGGCCCACUUCCCGAUGAGGUGAUCAAUGGAGAUGUGAAAAUCCUGCCCAACACUUUUUGCCGAAAGCUCCUUGGCUGGAGCAGCACAGGCAUGCUCUGCGCCAACGACCAGAGCAACACCGAGGUGGACAGCUGCCAGGGCGACUCGGGCGGCCCGCUCAUCUGUGACAACAAGGUGACCGGCAUCGUGUCCUUUGGCACGGGUUGCGGCGAACCCGAUUCGGCGGGAAUCUACACCGAUGUCUACCACUUUCGGGACUGGAUCAACGAAAACUCUUGCCCACGGGCCUUAUGUCCGAUGCGGACCCUGUUGAUCCUGGUGUUGCAGCUCCAACUGACCUUUCUGGCCAUUAUUAGGGGUGUAUUCUAGCGCCUUGUGCCCGUUAGGACGUCAUUCAACAGGCGGUUAGUGCAACAAACUACUAAGUUAUCGAGUCAUCCGGCGAGCGGCAGGCUGAAAGCCUCCAAACCUGCAGGCGACAAACCAAAAUUGACUAAAACUAGCGGCCGUGGCCUGUCAUCCGUCGCCAUGGAAGAGGAUGUGGAAGUGAUGGCAGGUAGCGAUGGCGGUGGACAUGCGAGUACGAAUGCGAGGCCAAUGGCAAGUGGCGAGUGUGGACGAGAAUGGAGGACGGCAAAAUGUGGUGCCAACCGCGCCAUUACCCGCGCACACAUGCACACACACGAACUCCCUGAAUGGACCAUGGAAUGGGUGGGACAACGGUUUAUGGUUACGCUGAUGCUGAUGCCGAUCCACAUUCACAUCCACUGUUUGUGACAGCAAUUAUCGCAUCACGAACAGGGGAGUCCUCCUAUCCUCCUGUCCUCCAACCAACCAACCGCCCACCCAUCCACACAGCCAUCCCGGCCACACGGCAUAUCAAGCAGCGAAGACAAUAUGCAACAAUUCGCGUUGGUUAAUUUUGGUCACUCGCCAACUGUUGAUUAGACCAAUUAGGGGCAACCAAUUAGGUGGCCUGGUCCAGAUUAUAGGAAGCUCUGCGCCAGAAAACUGGGCCAGUGGUAUGGCCGUUUGGUUUGGAUGCAAGGUGACCAGAUCAGCGUAGUUCCCUGGUCUACCGGAUCCAGACGAAUCUCUAGUAGAAAUCAGUGCGGAAGCAAGUUGAUUUGAUAUCAGAGCAAUGCAAUUAGAAAUCCCACACGCACACCCCAAUCACUCGCACAUAUAGUACGAUUGAAAAAGCCAAGAGAUGGGGAGACCUCAGGAACACAAGUCACGAACGUGUUGCGUCCCCAGCAAGGGAAGCUUGGUGCUCCGUGCUCCAUGCUCCGGGCUACAGGCUCCAGAUUCCAGGCAAGGCCAUUGUGGAACAGCCUCGACGACGACACACGACCGGCAAAGGCAAAACAAUGUUGAAUUGAUGUGGGACUCCAAGGGACUCCGAGGGACCAACCGACACAACCCGACCCCAUCUCGCCCAGAAGCCAGAACCCAGGCCAGACACAUAUUUACAGACAUUCAGGCAUUCGCAAUCAGAGCAUAUGGAAUAUAUACUGCGUAAACUGACAUUUUCUGGAGUUCCGGCUAACCCUUUUCCACGCGAAUUGGGGAGUUUCAAGUUCCACCAGUUGUGCCCCUUCUGCACUCCGUCGGACAAUCGCACGUUGAGCCGCAAACUGGCGGAUCCAGUGCCAGGAAAGCAGUAGUUGGCAGGAGAUCCGCCUCAUCCUCUGCUCCAUUGCAUUAUGUGAAUAGUGAAACAGCUUGGCACAAUCUACUAGCUCUGGUCGUUGAACCCCGGCAACCGGACCAUCUGAACGUCGGACCAGGUACACAUGCAGCGGAGUGCGAGUGUCCGAGCCGUACAAGCGGCUUAUUCGCGGCACAGCAGGACUCGCGCCUGCUGACAAAUCGACGGCUAAGCUGCAACGUCAACACGUCGACCACAACCACGGACCAACCCACCCGGAUUCGGAUCCGGAUCCGGACCAGCGCAGGGCACGCGUU